rnacentral:rRNA from 1 species
AGAGUUUGAUCCUGGCUCAGGAUGAACGCUAGCGGCAGGCCUAACACAUGCAAGUCGAGGGGGAACAGGAGGUGCUUGCACUUUGCUGACGACCGGCGCACGGGUGCGUAACGCGUAUACAAUCUACCUUUUGCUGAGGGAUAGCCCAGAGAAAUUUGGAUUAAGACCUCAUGGUAUUAUAAAAUGGCAUCAUUAAAUAAUUAAAGGUUACGGCAAAAGAUGAGUAUGCGUUCUAUUAGCUAGAUGGUGUGGUAACGGCACACCAUGGCAACGAUAGAUAGGGGCCCUGAGAGGGGGAUCCCCCACACUGGUACUGAGACACGGACCAGACUCCUACGGGAGGCAGCAGUGAGGAAUAUUGGACAAUGGGCGCAAGCCUGAUCCAGCCAUGCCGCGUGCAGGAAGACUGCCCUAUGGGUUGUAAACUGCUUUUAUAUAGGAAGAAACCUUUCCACGUGUGGAGAGCUGACGGUACUAUAAGAAUAAGGAUCGGCUAACUCCGUGCCAGCAGCCGCGGUAAUACGGAGGAUCCAAGCGUUAUCCGGAAUCAUUGGGUUUAAAGGGUCCGUAGGUGGAUAAUUAAGUCAGAGGUGAAAGUUUGCGGCUCAACCGUAAAAUUGCCUUUGAUACUGGUUAUCUUGAAUCAUUGUGAAGUGGUUAGAAUAUGUAGUGUAGCGGUGAAAUGCAUAGAUAUUACAUAGAAUACCAAUUGCGAAGGCAGAUCACUAAUAAUGUACUGACACUGAUGGACGAAAGCGUGGGUAGCGAACAGGAUUAGAUACCCUGGUAGUCCACGCCGUAAACGAUGGUCACUAGCUGUUUGGACUUCGGUCUGAGUGGCUAAGCGAAAGUGAUAAGUGACCCACCUGGGGAGUACGUUCGCAAGAAUGAAACUCAAAGGAAUUGACGGGGGCCCGCACAAGCGGUGGAGCAUGUGGUUUAAUUCGAUGAUACGCGAGGAACCUUACCAGGGCUUAAAUGUAGAUUGACAGGACUAGAGAUAGUUUUUCCUUCGGGCAAUUUACAAGGUGCUGCAUGGUUGUCGUCAGCUCGUGCCGUGAGGUGUCAGGUUAAGUCCUAUAACGAGCGCAACCCCUGUUGUUAGUUGCCAGCGAGUCAUGUCGGGAACUCUAACAAGACUGCCAGUGCAAACUGUGAGGAAGGUGGGGAUGACGUCAAAUCAUCACGGCCCUUACGUCCUGGGCUACACACGUGCUACAAUGGUAGGUACAGAGAGCAGCCACUGCGUGAGCAGGAGCGAAUCUAUAAAACCUAUCACAGUUCGGAUCGGAGUCUGCAACUCGACUCCGUGAAGCUGGAAUCGCUAGUAAUCGGAUAUCAGCCAUGAUCCGGUGAAUACGUUCCCGGGCCUUGUACACACCGCCCGUCAAGCCAUGGAAGUUGGAAGUGCCUGAAGUCCGUCACCGUAAGGAGCGGCCUAGGGUAAAGUCGAUAACUAGGGCUAAGUCGUAACAAGGUAACC